GUUGUAAACCACCCGAUGAGAUAAUGUUCACGCUUCUAACGUCAGAAAAGCCAACAAAUCUUGGGAGAUUAUCCGUUUAAAUAUAUGCGGUUAAAUCUCGAUGAGAUCCUGAGAAGAAAGAAGAAAACACAGGGUGGUCGAAGGUCUUAAGUACGUAAUUGUUGUGACAUUAGGACGGACAAACUGCAAAAAGGCCAACCAAAUAUGGGGUGUACUGUCUACACUGAUCCAGCCCAGGCUCAGAUUUACCAGUGCACAUUCACCGUGUCUCGCGCCUGGCUCAAUGAUAUGAGGCUGCUGGGAGAGAAAUGUCAGAAACCUUAACGUCAUUCAGAGUGAAAUACAUUGUACUUACAGCGUAAAACAUCUUUACAUCCUCUGUGUGACUUUGCUAUAUACUUCAUUUUGUUUUCAAACUUUAGAGUAUUUAAUAUAAAGUCCAAUGUAAAUGCUGAAGUACAAAACAAAGUUGAUAAGUUACCAAUAUCAAAUUUUUCAGUGGCUUAAUUAAACCUACACAGAUUUUAAAAACAUGACUUAUCUGAAUCUGUUGAUGUGAUUAAUAAAUCCUUUUCUUGACUACCUUUGUGUGGUGGGGGCAAAUAUAGAACAUAUGUUUGUUUGGUGAUGCAUCAAAUAAAGGGAGCUGUAGUUAAUGGUCA